GGGAGGCAGCAGUGGGGAAUAUUGGGCAAUGGCCGCAAGGCUGACCCAGCGACGCCGCGUGUGGGAGGACGCCCUUCGGGGUGGAAACCACUGUCAGGGGGGACGAACGACGGCGGGGUGAACAGCCUCGUCGGGUGACGGUACCUCCAGAGGAAGCGCCGGCUAACUCUGUGCCAGCAGCCGCGGUAAGACAGAGGGCGCGAGCGUUGUUCGGAAUCAUUGGGCGUAAAGCGCGCGCAGGCGGGUGCGCAAGUCGGGAGUGAAAUUCCGGGGCUCAACCCCGGCGCGGCUUCCGAAACUGCGUGUCUAGGGACCGGUAGGGGCCGGUGGAAUUCCCGGUGUAGCGGUGGAAUGCGUAGAGAUCGGGAAGAACACCUGUGGCGAAGGCGGCCGGCUGGGCCGGAUCCGACGCUGAGGCGCGAAAGCGUGGGGAGCAAACAGGAUUAGAAACCCUAGUAGUCCG
rnacentral:rRNA from 1 species